rnacentral:rRNA from 1 species
AUCGUACCCCAAACCGACACAGGUGGUCAGGUAGAGAAUACCAAGGCGCUUGAGAGAACUCGGGUGAAGGAACUAGGCAAAAUGGUGCCGUAACUUCGGGAGAAGGCACGCUGAUAUGUAGGUGAAGUCCCUGCGGACGGAGCUGAAAUCAGUCGAAGAUACCAGCUGGCUGCAACUGUUUAUUAAAAACACAGCACUGUGCAAACACGAAAGUGGACGUAUACGGUGUGACGCCUGCCCGGU